GAUGAACGCUGGCGGCGUGCCUAAUACAUGCAAGUCGAGCGAACAGACGAGGAGCUUGCUCCUCUGACGUUAGCGGCGAACGGGUGAGUAACACGUGGAUAACCUACCUCUAAGACUGGGAUAACUUCGGGAAACCGGAGCUAAUACCGGAUAAUAUAUUGAACCGCAUGGUUCAAUAGUGAAAGACGGUUUUGCUGUCACUUAUCGAUGGAUCCGCGCCGCAUUAGCUAGUUGGUAAGGUAACGGCCUACCAAGGCAACGAUCGGUAGCCGACCUGAGAGAGUGAUCGGCCACACUGGAGGUGAGACACGGUCCAGACUCCUACGGGAGGCAGCAGUAGGGAAUCUGCCGCAAUGGGCGAAAGCUUGACGGAGCAACGCCGCGUGAGUGAUGAAGGUCUUCGGAUCGUAAAACUCUGUUAUGAGGGAAGAACAAAUGUGUAAGUAACUAUGCACGUAUUGACGGUACCUAAUCAGAAAGCCACGGCUAACUACGUG
rnacentral:rRNA from 1 species